AGUGGGCGGGUCGCACCCCGGGCCUCCAUUGGACCGUAUGGCUCACCCCCAGGAACCAAGGGUAUGGCGCAGCGCGACCAAAUGUAGUUGACAAGGAGAAUGGGGGAAGGGAGAGGGGCCAGUGUUGUGGGCUGGGGCUGGGGCGGGGUCUGAUGAGUAGUAGGCGGGGCUGUGUCUUGGGUGCUGUUCUCCAACGCGUAACCCCGCUAAGAGCAGGUGACAGAAGGAGGGGAGCAGUGAGCGCCCCAGCAAGGAGACGUUUGGCAGGCAGUAGGCAGGUCUGCAUUCCGGGCCACGCAGGCUCGGGCUGUAAAGCCCCACGGCCUGGCAGGAUCGCUCAGAGCGGCGGAUCGCAGGAGCAGGCUAGGAGAUGCCACCAUGGCAGUAGGCAACAUCAACGAGCUGCCAGAGAACAUCCUGCUGGAACUGUUCACCCACAUACCGGCCCGCCAGCUGCUGCUGCGCUGCCGUCCCGUCUGCAGCCUCUGGAGAGACCUCAUUGAUCUGGUUACACUCUGGAAGCGCAAGUGCCUUCAAGAGGGCUUCAUCACCCAGGACUGGGACCAGCCUGUGGCUGACUGGAAGAUCUUCUACUUCCUGCGCAGCCUCCAGAGGAACCUCCUUCACAACCCUUGUGCUGAAGAGGGAUUUGAGUUCUGGAGCCUGGAUGUGAAUGGAGGAGAUGAAUGGAAGGUGGAGGAUCUCUCCAAAGACCAGCGGAAGGAAUUCCCCAAUGACCAGGUCAAGAAAUACUUCGUGACUUCCUAUUACACCUGCCUCAAGUCCCAGGUGGUGGACCUCAAGGCUGAAGGGUAUUGGGAGGAGCUGAUGGACACCACCCGGCCGGACAUCGAGGUCAAGGACUGGUUUGCAGCCAGGCCAGACUGCGGGUCCAAGUACCAGCUGUGCGUCCAACUCCUGUCGUCAGCCCACGCACCACUGGGAACCUUCCAGCCAGACCCGGUGAUGAUUCAGCAGAAAAGCGAUGCCAAGUGGAGGGAGGAUGUAGUGGUUAUUCCUGGUCUGGUCGUUAACUCGACUGUGUCUGGAAUGAACUACAAUCCAGAAUUGGAAGGCUCACCAGUGAUCCAGAUCUUGAGGCUGGGAGAUACAAGUUUCUGACCUGGAUCAUAGCAUGGAAACCUUGAGACAGAGUGGCCACGAGAAGCUUAGGCUCAAAAGAGGUAAUACAUGCCUUUAAUCCCUGGAGACCGAGGCAAGGAGACCUCUGAGUUCAUGGUCAGCCUGGGACAAGCAAGUCCCAGAUCCAGGCAUGGUGGUACACACCUUUAAUCUGGACCACACUUUCUGCUGGAGACCUAUAUAAGGACACUGGAAGAAGGAAGGUGUCUAUUCUUCGCCUGUUUGCCUGUGGGACUGAGCAACUGCUAGAUCCUUGGACUUCCAUUCACGGCUGCUGCUGACUGCUAUGGGAAGUUGGACUACAGACUAAGACAUCAACAAAUUCCCUUACUAUAUAGAGACUACCCAUCAAUCCUGGGACUCUAGAGAACCCCAAUUAAUACACAGGACUAGCCUCUCAGCUCUGCUGCUGCUGCUGUGGGAAAACAACUUCAGACACGUGAGCCCUGUUGAGGCGACAGAGUAGCCAGUAGUGACUUUUGUUGACACUGUAUCAGUGACUUGUCACUGUAUCAACUGCCCCAGGGUUCUCAUGUAGCCCAGGCUGCCCCCAGAUUGCUACAUAGCAGAGAACACCUUGAGCUCCUGCUCCUCCUGCCUCUAACCCCCACCCUGCCUGGUUUAUGUGGCCUCCGGACUGAACACAGGACUGUGUGUAUGGUGCUCUACAGGGCAAGUACUUUUCUGAACUAUAGCUCUUUUGUUGUUUUCUGAUGGAAUCCCUCUCUAAGGUACUAUGUAGCCAGGGAUGACCUUGAACUUCUGGCCCUCCGGCCUUCACCUCCUGAAUGCUAGAAUUAAAGGUGUGUACCAUCAUGGCACUAGGGAUGAAACCUAGGGCUUGCAGCGUGCUACACAAGCACUUUUGAUAAAUCUCCUCUCCCCAGCUCUGUUCUGCUGUUCUUGCAAAAGAUAUAUUUUUACUUUAUGUGUACAAGUGCUUUUUCCUGUGUGCCUAGAAGGCCAGAAGAGGGCUUCAGCUCUCCUGGAACUGGAGUUACGGAUGGUUGUAAGUUGCCCUGCAGGUGCUGGAAAUGGAACCCUGGUCUUCUACAAGAGUAGUCAAUGCUCCUAGAUAUGGAGUCAUCUCUCCAGUCCCCCUGGCUUUGCUUUUGGAGACAGAUCUUACAGAGUAGACCUGACUGCUCCCCUCUGUCUGCCCCUG